rnacentral:tRNA from 1 species
GCGGACGUGGCGGAAUUGGCAGACGCGUAUGGCUUAGGACCAUAUACCGCGAGGUAUGGGGGUUCAAGUCCCUCCGUCCGCA